rfam:Bombyx mori DNA, contig: Bm_scaf11_contig9339, strain: p50T/Dazao, build 2, whole genome shotgun sequence.
AAGACUUUAUUUCAUAGGAUCAUUUCUAUAGUAAGCUCUUACCGAGAAUUUCACACUACGUGAAUGGCCACAACAAACUUAUUAGGU